GACGAACGCUGGCGGCGUGCUUAACACAUGCAGGUCGAACGGAAAGGCCCUGCUUUUGUGGGGUGCUCGAGUGGCGAACGGGUGAGUAACACGUGAGUAGCCUGCCCUUUACUUUGGGAUAACUUCAGGAAACUGGGGCUAAUACCGGAUAGGAGCUCCUGCUGCAUGGUGGGGGUUGGAAAGUUUCGGCGGUUGGGGAUGGACUCGCGGCUUAUCAGCUUGUUGGUGGGGUAGUGGCUUACCAAGGCUUUGACGGGUAGCCGGCCUGAGAGGGUGACCGGCCACAUUGGGACUGAGAUACGGCCCAGACUCCUACGGGAGGCAGCAGUGGGGAAUAUUGCACAAUGGGCGGAAGCCUGAUGCAGCAACGCCGCGUGCGGGAUGACGGCCUUCGGGUUGUAAACCGCUUUCGCCUGUGACGAAGCGUGAGUGACGGUAAUGGGUAAAGAAGCACCGGCUAACUACGUG
rnacentral:rRNA from 1 species